rnacentral:rRNA from 1 species
ACGGUAAGGAUUGACGGACUGAAGGCUCUUUCUCGAUUCCGUGGAAAGUGGUGCAUGGCCGUUUUUGGUUGGUGGAUCGAUCCGUCUGGUUAAUUCCGUUAACGAACGAGACCUCGGCACUCCGAAUAGCGCGGCGGACGUCGCGGCCUCCGGGCCGUCUUCCGCACGAGCUUCUUAGAGGGACCGUCCCCCGCCGGGGAAGGAGGUGCGAGGCAACGACAGGUCUGUGAUGCCCUUAGAUGUUCUGGGCCGCACGCGCAUUACACUGACGCGUCCAACGGGUGACUCCCGACCCGAAGGGGCCGGGGAAUCCGCAAGGCGCGUCGUGAUGGGGAUUGAACGUUGCAAUUGUUGUUCACGAACGAGGAAUUCCUAGUAGGCGCGGGUCAUCAACCCGCGCCGAUUACGUCCCUGCCCUUUGUACACAC